rnacentral:lncRNA from 1 species
AAAUAAAAAAUACAAUGGCGAGGAGACCCGGUCAAAAAGCAACCCUGAAAAAGGUACCCUCUGAAACUGAGGAAGCAGGGCAACAGUGCCUAGCUCAGGUGACAAUCUUUAAGCAAAAGAAACACACAAGGGCGUGGGGAGCUGGCGAAAAGGCAACACUGAGAAAUCCACCCUCUGAAACGGACGAAGAUGGGCAACAGAGGCUAGCUCAGGUGGCAAUCUUUAAGCAAAAGAAACACACAAGGGCGUGGAGACCUGGGGAAAAAGCAACACGGAGAAAUCCACCCUCUGAAACUGAGGAAGAUGGGCAAGAGAGGCUACCUCAGGUGGCAAUCGUUAAGCAAAAACAAAGCACAAAGGCGUGGAGCCCUGGGGACAAAGCAACCCUGAAAUAUCUACCCUCUGAAACUGAGGAACAUGGGCAAGAGAGGCUAGCUCAGGUGGCAAUCUUUAAGCAAAAGAAACACACAAGGGCGUGGAGACCUGGGGAAAAGGCAACACUGAGAAAUCCACCCUCUGAAACGGACGAAGAUGGGCAACAGAGGCUAGCUCAGGUGGCAAUCGUUAAGCAAAAGAAACACACAAGGGCGUGGAGACCUGGGGAAAAAGCAACACGGAGAAAUCCACCCUCUGAAACUGAGGAACAUGGGCAAGAGAGGCUAGCUCAGGUUGCAACCUUUAAGCAAAAAAAAAAGACGCAAGGGCGUGGAGACCUGGGGAAAAAGCAACACGGAGAAAUCUACCCUCUGAAACUGAGAAAGAAGCGCAACAGAGGCUAGCUCAGGUGGCAAUCUUUAAGCAAAAGAAACACACAAGGGCGUGGAGACCUGGGGAAAAAGCAACACGGAGAAAUCCACCCUCUGAAACUGAGGAAGAUGGGCAAGAGAGGCUGGCUUCAGGUGGCAAUCUUUAAGCAAAAGAAACACACAAGGGCGUGGAGACCUGGGGAAAAAGCAACACUGAGAAAUCCACCCUCUGAAACUGAGGAAGAUGGGAAACAGAGGCUACCUCAGGUGGCAAUCGUUAAGCAAAAGAAACACACAAGGGCGUGGAGACCUGGGGAAAAAGCAACACGGAGAAAUCCACCCUCUGAAACUGAGGAAGAUGGGCAAGAGAGGCUAGCUCAGGUGGCAAUCGUUAAGCAAAAACAAAACCCAAAGGCGUGGAGACCUGGGGAAAAAGCAACCCUGAAAUAUCUACCCUCUGAAACUGAGGAAGAUGGGCAAGAGAGGCUGGCUUCAGGUGGCAAACUUUAAGCAAAAGAAACACACAAGGGCGUGGAGACCUGGGGAAAAAGCAGCACUGAGAAAUCUACCCUCUGAAACUGACGAGGAUGGGCAACAGAGGCUACCUCAGGUGGCAAUCGUUAAGCAAAAGAAACACACAA